AACAUCUAGCUAUACCCGACCGGGAAUUAUUUUACCAGUUUAAUAUUUAAAGAUACAUGUACCAAGUAUAUUAACAAGAUUUUCUAUUAAAAUAGCAAUAGUAAAUCCUGAGAUUGGAAUAGAUCUUCCAAGGGGAGACAAAUUCAAUAAACAACAAGAUUUGUUAAUUCAAUGGGAGAUAACUCUGUAAAAUAUGCAGAUUUUAAUGCAGUUGAAAUUCAAAUCAUUAUUCUUUGACUUCCUUUUUUUUUUCCAUCUUUAUAUUAAUUUUACAAACUUAGGUGUUGAUGUUAUACUAUUGUGAACAUGUAGUAAUGUUGACAGAAAUGGAAUUAUAAAAUAUAUAAUAAUGUAUCCAUUUUAAUUCCUUUUUAGGUUCUUUCUGUGACAUGUUUUCAUGGUGUUGGGAAUAAGACUUUGGGGUCUAAUACAUCAUAAAGGAAGGUUAACAUCGCAGUUUGUCCGUAAGGUUUGAGGUAACUGGGAAUGGCAAUUGGAGCUGACUUUUAUGGUAACUUUAACUGUGGCUGCAUGAAAAUGAUUGGGUGGCUGUACCAGUAAAGAAUGUAAUUCAGACAAUUUUUGUGUAUGUUUGAGAAAAUGUUUAUAAUUUUUUACAAAAAAAAAAAAUUGUGUAAAGAUUCUCCAUUUUCAACAAGAUUGUAAGUUAUAUAUAACUUAUUUUGAAUUUUAAAAUCUCUCUUUUUACAAUUAAAACCAAAGGAUAUAUUCAGGUAGCUCUACUCAUGUCCAUUCUUGACAGUUUUUUGUCAUGCAUAUUGAUACUGAACUGGUUGUUGUCUCACCUUGACGGAGUCGAAAAGCGAGACAUAGGUAUGCUGUUUCCGGCGUCGGCGGCGGCAUCAACAAUGUAUUAGUUUGUGAUUAGGUCUUAGUUUAUGGUGAACCACUAGUGGUAGGUCAAUGAUAUUUGGUAUGCAGUUGUAUAAGCAUUGGCAUAUCUCAUUUUCAUGAAGAUUAUUUGGCCCCGCCCCUUCAGUCAUGGUCUAUUGACUUUGAAACUUUUGCUUAGUUUACAAGUUAGUGUUUAUGUUUAGAUUUCUUUAAGGUUCCACUAAA